CCUUCUUCUUCUCCUUUUUCUGGUUGUUUCUACAAGGAACAUCACGUUUCAUCAUUGACAAUGGGUGGAAUCUAAUGCUAGCUGAGUUGUACAUAAGCAACAAAGCAGAGUUAACUCGAAGCUAAUUUGAGAAACAGUUAGCUUCAAUAAGAGUGAUGACACUAGCGUGAAAAUGUUUAUGCAUGGAUAGAAAUCUGCUUUCUUGGAAUCCAGAGUCAAUCUUUAACAAACAAAGAUGGUGCAAUCUGUGAGAGAACUUCCACUCAAAUACCAGGGGAAAAAAAUAUCCCCAUGGAAUGCUUGGAGC
rnacentral:lncRNA from 1 species